GCGCCCGUAGCUCAGCUGGAUAGAGCGUCUGGCUACGAACCAGAAGGUCCGGUGUUCGAAUCACCGCGGGCGCACCA
rnacentral:tRNA from 1 species